AACGCUCGUGAACCCUGUUGUAGAGUGCGAAGUCGAGAGAGAGAGAGACAGCAAUUUUUUGAUCCCACAUCCAUAGCUAGUAAAAGUACCGUUUUAUAAUCAUUUUGUGUAAAUAUAUAUUUAACUUAAGUUUUAGUAUUGAUAGUUUAGUUAUUUAGUUGUUAUUGUGUUAUGUUAUAGUGUAGUUUAGUGUAUAGUGUUAUUAGUAUAGUGUAUAGUGUUAUAGUUGAAUAGUUUAGAUUCGUUUUUUGUGAAGGUGGGAAGGAAAGACACCCGAAGGACAUCAUUUGAGAUAUGGCAAACAGUGCUGGAAGAUCUGACGAUCUUAAGAUGUUCAAAAAAAAGGUUCAUCGUCUGAAGUUUUCGGUGGUGCAUUUUCUUGAGGAAAAUGAGGUGGAUGUGGCACCAUCAUUAUGGUUGGCGAAGAGCAAUGGGGUUCUGAAUUGCUAUUGGCCGGCAAAUAAUGCCAGCGUUCUGGCAAGACGCUGUGCUCUGCCCGACAAGGUACUUUGGAAAAAGUACAAAGUUCGCGUUUUCUCUACAACAGACAGCUACAGCCUGGCCAGGAGAGGGCAAGAAAGGGGCAAGACACCUCUCAGGUGGAAACGGUGGAGAUAAAUUCGAGGAGGAUAAACGUUCCUGCCAGGUACCAGGAGCCUGAUAGUGACGAUAAGGAAGAAGUAAUAAAAAAAAAAAAAAAAAGAACAAUAAAACCUGGAGUGUUGCCAAGAGGGCCUGCGUUCCCUUCACCACCUAUCAUCACACCUGUCAGGGUCGAUGAUGAAGGCAUGGCUGGUGUAUCAGCUGCUGGAAUCCAACCACAUAAUAUUACUCCAUGUGAAUCCUCCACCAUCGGGGAGAAACCUAUGAGGCCAUUCAAGGGAACCAUCAAGAUGGAACGGAUACAGUCUCCAAAGAGAUUUUCAGUUUCCUGGAGGGUAUGGAGAGGAGGAUUAUGCUGAAGUUGGAAAGGAUGCACGAGGACCUAAGAAAUGGCAAUGGUAGAGUCAUGGAGGCUGUGGAGUCCAGGCCAGGAAGGACAUCUGAGGCAGCUGAAGAGGACAUGUUAGAGGGUCCAUGUCAAAACCUCGCAGACUUGGAGGACCUCUGCAAAAAGAUUGCAGCUCUUUUAAAAAGAAAAUG
ensembl:lncRNA